UCAGAGCGUUGAUUAGAGUACUACUCACCAGUCAUAUGGCCUAGUGGACAGUGAGGUGUAAGUCAGAUAUACUAGGACACCACUUGUGAGUUGGGAGUUGGUCUGUGUAGCAGGACAGCUGAAUAGUAAAGGAGUUUGCUGGCAUGGCAUAGCCUCUACUUGUGGCCACACUGUCAAGUUGAGGAUUUAGCUAAGACAGCAUUACCUUGCAGUUGAGUUUCUACCUGGGCAGCUAGCAUACAGUGUAUAAAGUAAAAAAGUUGGCAACAAUGUUGGUGACCUGUAUGAUAAGAAUGUGUCUGCAGUGUGAACUAUAAGUUGACAUACAUGGAUGCAAAUCUGGAAGCCUUAUACUUAUGAUACCAGUAUCUCAAUAAACGUUUAUGCAGUGA